UCCUCUUCUUUUUACCCUUAACCCUAACCACCAGAAAAGAAUUGAGAGGUUGAGAUAGGGUCGCCAAAAAUAGGAAGAAGGCGGUGGAGCUAGGGGGGCCACCGCAUCAGAAGAAGAAACCGACAAAGGCAAGCUGAUUUCUUCCAGUUUCUCUUCCUUUUCUAUUCUAGUUUAGAUUUUAUUAAUUUUUAUGCACAUUUAGGGAAACAAAAUCCAUCCAAAAAUGGUAAAACCUUUGGCCAAAGGAAGCCCAUCCCCCACCGUGAAGCAUGACCAUUUUCUGUUCAGGUUAAGAUAUUGUCGAUACCUAAGUGUUAAGACAAGGUGAAACUUUUGGAGGCUAAGUCCUAAAGUGUUCAAGUGCCAAGGACGCGAAGGUUAUGUUUCAAAUUCAUUAGUGAUGUAUAAACCAUGCUUUGUAAGAAUGCUUUGCAAAUUUUAAAUUAAUAUAUUCAUGAUGUUUUAUUAAAUUAGUGUACUCUAGUCACACCCGGAAA